CUGAGAGGAUGACCAGCCACACUGGAACUGAGACACGGUCCAGACUCCUACGGGAGGCAGCAGUGGGGAAUAUUGCACAAUGGGCGCAAGCCUGAUGCAGCCAUGCCGCGUGUAUGAAGAAGGCCUUCGGGUUGUAAAGUACUUUCAGCGGGGAGGAAGGGAGUAAAGUUAAUACCUUUGCUCAUUGACGUUACCCGCAGAAGAAGCACCGGCUAACUCCGUGCCAGCAGCCGCGGUAAUACGGAGGGUGCAAGCGUUAAUCGGAAUUACUGGGCGUAAAGCGCACGCAGGCGGUUUGUUAAGUCAGA
rnacentral:rRNA from 2 species